AGUGAACGCUGGCGGUAGGCCUAACACAUGCAAGUCGAACGGCAGCACAGUAAGAGCUUGCUCUUACGGGUGGCGAGUGGCGGACGGGUGAGGAAUACAUCGGCAUCUACUUUUUCGUGGGGGAUAACGUAGGGAAACUUACGCUAAUACCGCAUACGACCUACGGGUGAAAGCAGGAGAUCUUCGGACCUUGCGCGAUUGAAUGAGCCGAUGUCGGAUUAGCUAGUUGGCGGGGUAAAGUCCCACCAAGGCGACGAUACGUAGCUGGCCUGAGAGGAUGAUCAGCCACACUGGAACUGAGACACGGUCCAGACUCCUACGGGAGGCAGCAGUGGGGAAUAUUGGACAAUGGGCGCAAGCCUGAUCCAGCCAUACCGCGUGGGUGAAGAAGGCCUUCGGGUUGUAAAGCCCUUUUGUUGGGAAAGAAAAGCAGCAGGUUAAUACCCCGCUGUUCUGACGGUACCCAAAGAAUAAGCACCGGCUAACUUCGUG
rnacentral:rRNA from 1 species